GAUGAACGCUGACAGAAUGCUUAACACAUGCAAGUCUACUUGAACUUCGGUUUGGGUGGCGGACGGGUGAGUAACGCGUAAAGAACUUGCCUCACAGAUAGGGACAACAUUUGGAAACGAAUGCUAAUACCUGAUAUUAUGAUUUUAGGGCAUCCUAGAAUUAUGAAAGCUAUAUGCACUGUGAGAGAGCUUUGCGUCCCAUUAGCUAGUUGGAGAGGUAACGGCUCACCAAGGCGAUGAUGGGUAGCCGGCCUGAGAGGGUAAUCGGCCACAAGGGGACUGAGACACGGCCCUUACUCCUACGGGAGGCAGCAGUGGGGAAUAUUGGACAAUGGACCAAGAGUCUGAUCCAGCAAUUCUGUGUGCACGAUGAAGUUUUUCGGAAUGUAAAGUGCUUUCAGUUGGGAAGAAAAAAAUGACGGUACCAACAGAAGAAGUGACGGCUAAAUACGUGCCAGCAGCCGCGGUAAUACGUAUGUCACAAGCGUUAUCCGGAUUUAUUGGGCGUAAAGCGCGUCUAGGUGGUUAUGUAAGUCUGAUGUGAAAAUGCAGGGCUCAACUCUGUAUUGCGUUGGAAAACUGUGUAACUAGAGUAC
rnacentral:rRNA from 1 species